rnacentral:rRNA from 1 species
UACGUAGGUGGCAAGCGUUAUCCGGAAUUAUUGGGCGUAAAGAGCGCGCAGGUGGUUGAUUAAGUCUGAUGUGAAAGCCCACGGCUUAACCGUGGAGGGUCAUUGGAAACUGGUCGACUUGAGUGCAGAAGAGGGAAGUGGAAUUCCAUGUGUAGCGGUGAAAUGCGUAGAUAUUAGGAGGAACAUCAGUGGCGAAGGCGACUUUCUGGACGAUAACUGACGCUGAGGCGCGAAAGCGUGGGGAGGCAAACAGGAUUAGAUACCCG